rnacentral:rRNA from 1 species
UUGAAGAGUUUGAUCAUGGCUCAGGAUGAACGCUAGCGACAGGCUUAACACAUGCAAGUCGAGGGGCAGCGGGGAGGUAGCAAUACUUCCGCCGGCGACCGGCGCACGGGUGAGUAACACGUAUGGAACCUGCCCGUAGCAGGGGGAUAAGCGGAAGAAAUUCCGUCUAAUACCGCGUAAUAACUCCGAGAGGCAUCUCAUGGAGUUUAAAGGGUAACACCGGCUACGGAUGGCCACGCGGCGCAUUAGCUAGUUGGCGGGGUAACGGCCCACCAAGGCGACGAUGCGUAGGGGUUCUGAGAGGAAGGUCCCCCACACUGGUACUGAGACACGGACCAGACUCCUACGGGAGGCAGCAGUGAGGAAUAUUGGUCAAUGGGCGCGAGCCUGAACCAGCCAAGUCGCGUGAGGGAAGACGGUCCUAUGGAUUGUAAACCUCUUUUGUCGGGGAGCAAAAGACGCCACGCGUGGCGUUCCGAGAGUACCCGAAGAAAAAGCAUCGGCUAACUCCGUGCCAGCAGCCGCGGUAAUACGGAGGAUGCGAGCGUUAUCCGGAUUUAUUGGGUUUAAAGGGUGCGCAGGCGGAAGAUCAAGUCAGCGGUAAAAUUGAGAGGCUCAACCUCUUCGAGCCGUUGAAACUGGUUUUCUUGAGUGAGCGAGAAGUAUGCGGAAUGCGUGGUGUAGCGGUGAAAUGCAUAGAUAUCACGCAGAACUCCGAUUGCGAAGACAGCAUACCGGCGCUCAACUGACGCUCAUGCACGAAAGUGUGGGUAUCGAACAGGAUUAGAUACCCUGGUAGUCCACACAGUAAACGAUGAAUACUAAUUGUUCGGGGAGAAUGAUCCCUGAGUGAUACAGCGAAAGCGUUAAGUAUUCCACCUGGGGAGUACGCCGGCAACGGUGAAACUCAAAGGAAUUGACGGGGGCCCGCACAAGCGGAGGAACAUGUGGUUUAAUUCGAUGAUACGCGAGGAACCUUACCCGGGCUCAAACGACACAGGAAUACUUUUGAAAGGAGGUAGCUCUACGGAGCCUGUGUCGAGGUGCUGCAUGGUUGUCGUCAGCUCGUGCCGUGAGGUGUCGGCUUAAGUGCCAUAACGAGCGCAACCCCCAUCGCCAGUUACCAGCAAGUCAAGUUGGGGACUCUGGCGAGACUGCCGGCGCAAGCUGUGAGGAAGGCGGGGAUGACGUCAAAUCAGCACGGCCCUUACGUCCGGGGCGACACACGUGUUACAAUGGCAGGUACAGAGAGAAGCAAUGCGGCGACGCAAAGCGGAACUUGAAAGCCUGUCUCAGUUCGGAUUGGAGUCUGCAACUCGACUCCAUGAAGCUGGAUUCGCUAGUAAUCGCGCAUCAGCCAUGGCGCGGUGAAUACGUUCCCGGGCCUUGUACACACCGCCCGUCAAGCCAUGGAAGCCGGGAGUGCCUGAAGUGUGCAACCGCAAGGAGCGCCCUAAGGUAAAACUGGUGACUGGGGCUAAGUCGUAACAAGGUAACC